rnacentral:rRNA from 1 species
AGAGUUUGAUCAUGGCUCAGAACGAACGUUAGCGGCGCGCCUAAUACAUGCAAGUCGAGCGAGAAAGGGCUUCGGCCCCAGUAAAGCGGCGCACGGGUGAGUAACACGUAGGUCAUCUCCCCUAGAGUGGUGGAUAACCCUCCGAAAGGAGGGCUAAUACAGCAUGAGACCACGAUCCCGCUGGGAUUGCGGUCAAAGCAGGCCUCUACAUGUAAGCUUGCGCUCAAGGAUGAGCCUGCGGCCCAUCAGCUAGUUGGUAAGGUAACGGCUUACCAAGGCUAAGACGGGUAGCUGGUCUGAGAGGAUGAGCAGCCACACUGGAACUGAAACACGGUCCAGACUCCUACGGGAGGCAGCAGUAGGGAAUCUUGCGCAAUGGGCGAAAGCCUGACGCAGCGACGCCGCGUGAGCGAUGAAGGCCUUCGGGUUGUAAAGCUCUGUGGGGAGAGACGAAUAAGGCAUGGCUAAUAUCCAUGUCGAUGACGGUAUCUCCUUAGCAAGCACCGGCUAACUCUGUGCCAGCAGCCGCGGUAAGACAGAGGGUGCGAACGUUGUUCGGAAUUACUGGGCGUAAAGCGCGUGUAGGCGGCAGCGCAAGUCGGGCGUGAAAUCCCACGGCUCAACCGUGGAAGUGCACUCGAAACUGCGCAGCUAGAGUCCUGGAGAGGAAGGUGGAAUGCUUGGUGUAGAGGUGAAAUUCGUAGAUAUCAAGCGGAACACCGGUGGCGAAGGCGGCCUUCUGGACAGUGACUGACGCUGAGACGCGAAAGCGUGGGGAGCAAACAGGAUUAGAUACCCUAGUAGUCC